rnacentral:rRNA from 1 species
UACGGAGGGGGCUAGCGUUGUUCGGAAUUACUGGGCGUAAAGCGAGUGUAGGCGGCUUGGCAAGUCGGAUGUGAAAGCCCCGGGCUCAACCCGGGAAGUGCACUCGAUACUGCUUAGCUUGAGUGUCGGAGAGGUUGGUGGAAUUCUCGGUGUAGAGGUGAAAUUCGUAGAUAUCGAGAGGAACAUCGGCGGCGAAGGCGGCCAACUGGACGAACACUGACGCUGAGACUCGAAAGCGUGGGGAGCAAACAGG